GUAAAUUUUAUUUUAAUAUAAGCUGUUUUUCUCGUUUGAAUUUUUACCAUUUUUUACCAGAGCCUAUUAUAACUGACUAUACAGUUUGCUAUUUUCUCCUCAUUGUUAAAGGUCGGACAGUGAUAAACACACUUCUUUCAAAAUCUAGUGUAAAGUUGUAAAUAUCAUUCGCAAUCACCCCGUAUCUCCUUAUUUAUAUAUACACCUAAGGGCAUAGUUCAAAUUGUUUUGACAUAGACGAAUAUUUGGUUGCUCCUAUUAUUUUAAUAUGCC
rnacentral:lncRNA from 1 species